GCCCGCUUGGCUCAGGGGUAAAGCGUCUCACUCGUAAGUUGUAAAACCUAUGUUAUGAGAAGAUCCGCGGUUCGAAUCCGCGAGUGGGCA